rnacentral:rRNA from 1 species
AGAACGAACGCUGGCGGCAUGCCUAACACAUGCAAGUCGAACGAGACCUUCGGGUCGUAGUGGCGCACGGGUGCGUAACGCGUGGGAAUCUGCCCUUGGGUUCGGAUAACAGUUGGAACGACUGCUAAUACCGGAUGAUGACGUUAAGUCCAAAGAUUUAUCGCCCAGGGAUGAGCCCGCGUAGGAUUAGCUAGUUGGUGAGGUAAAGGCUCACCAAGGCGACGAUCCUUAGCUGGUCUGAGAGGAUGAUCAGCCACACUGGGACUGAGACACGGCCCAGACUCCUACGGGAGCAGCAGUGGGGAAUAUUGGACAAUGGGCGAAAGCCUGAUCCAGCAAUGACCGCGUGAGUGAUGAAGGCCUUAGGGUUGUAAAGCGUACGUUUUACCCGGGAAGACUAAUGAACUGUACCGGAGAAGUAACGACCCCGGCUAACGUCCGUAGCCAGCAGCCGC